rnacentral:rRNA from 1 species
UACAGAGGGUGCAAGCGUUAUUCGGAAUUAUUGGGCGUAAAGCGCGUGUAGGCAGCUUAGUCAGUCUGGUGUGAAAGCCCUGGGCUCAACCCAGGAAGUGCAUGGGAUACUGCUAGGCUAGAGUGCAGAAGAGGAGAACGGAAUUCCAGGUGUAGAGGUGAAAUUCGUAGAUAUCUGGAGGAACAACAGUGGCGAAGGCGGUUCUCUGGGCUGUUACUGACGCUGAGACGCGAAAGCGUGGGGAGCAAACAGG